CAGUCUGAGGUGUAAGUGGUUUGCAUGGCCGGUUUGGAUCCGGGCGGUUCGAGGUUCGAGUCCUCGCAGACUGA
rnacentral:tRNA from 1 species